UACGAAGGGGGCGAGCGUUGUUCGGAAUUACUGGGCGUAAAGGGCGCGUAGGCGGCGACCCAAGUCAGAUGUGAAAGUCCUGGGCUUAACCUGGGGACUGCAUUUGAUACUGGGUUGCUUGAAUUCGGGAGAGGGAUGCAGAAUUCCAGGUGUAGCGGUGAAAUGCGUAGAUAUCUGGAGGAAUACCGGUGGCGAAGGCGGCAUCCUGGACCGGCAUUGACGCUGAUGAGCGAAAGCUAGGGGAGCAAACGGG
rnacentral:rRNA from 1 species